CGCGUAGGCGGAGGACCAAGUCCGGGGUGAAAUCUUUCGGCUCAACCGGAAAACCUGCCUUGGAUACUGGUCUUCUUGAGGGAGGUAGGGGCAGGUGGAACUUCCGGUGGAGCGGUGAAAUGCGUUGAUAUCGGAAGGAACGCCGGUGGCGAAAGCGGCCUGCUGGAUCUCUUCUGACGCUGAGGCGCGAAAGCUAGGGUAGCAACG
rnacentral:rRNA from 1 species